AUUGGGUAUUCAUUCCUUUUUUAGUUCACCUAUCAUUGGCUUUUAAAAAGAGAUUUUAGUAACUUUCUCCCUUGGACCUUCUUGAUGAUUGAACCCAUCUAGUUUCUAAGUCACCUGUUGAUGCACAAAAUCAGUGAUGACUUUGGUACAACAGAAAGUGUUAAGUUUGUGACCUUCGCUAGAUUGCUCCGGUCACUAGUGUGGAUAAAUAUGUAAAUGGAUAGAGACAGGGAAGCAAACACAAGAUGUACGUGGUUCACCUAGAUUGGCUACGUCCACGGAGUAGAGGAGUUCUCAUUAAUUGUGAAGGGUUUACACAAGUACAUAGGUUCAAGCUCUCAUUUAGUGAGUACUAGUGAAUGAUUUAGUACAAAUGACAUUAGGAAAUAUUGUGAAAGAAUGAUCUCUAUUUAUAGAAGAGGGUUUCUAGUUUCAUUCUGACAUUGACACAUGUCGUGUUGUGAUUGGCUUCUGAUGUUGACACGUGUCGCGCUAUGAUUGGCUUCUGAUGUCAACACGUGUCGCACUAUGAUUGGCCUCCUGGUUGGAAGGAAACUCUUCUGGGUCCUUGACGGUAUAACGUUGACCGAUGCUCAGUAGUUUCGGGAUUGGUCAAGUAUGGUACAAACAGUGCUCCCCUAAGUUCCCGAGUGAGGGAAGCUCCUUGGUUGGGGACUUGCAAGAUCCAAGCCAUUGAGUAAUCACGAAACUUCUAAGUACCGAAGUGUGGUAUCAUUUUCACUUGCCUUAUGUGUCUCAUACGUAGAUGUGGCAUUUUCUCUGUAAGUACUUUUCCUCCAUCCAGGGGUGGUAUCUUUAACCGAUGAAGAUGCACAAGGUAAUGUAUCAAUUUCACUUGAAGCUUACUUGUAGUUUCAGGCUUGGUCAAGUGCGAUACAAAACCCUAUAGUAGGAGUCCCCCAAGUCGCCGAGCUAGGAGAUUUUCCGAAAGAGGUAACAGACAAGGUAAGCAAUCAGACUUCCAAGCAAACAACCUGGAUUGGAGGUUCGACUUCGGCUUCCGGUUGAUUGUUCUCCUUCUCCUUGUGUCGUAAACAGCAACAAGGAUAAGGAUAAUCAAAUGAAGAAGAGAUGAUAUGAGAUACUUUUGCUUUUGAAGAAGUAACUUUCCACAUGCUUAUUCUUGAAUUGGGCUUGAGGGUUUUCUGGUUUCCUCCAGAGUAUAAGGCCGACUCAAGAAUUUGAGGGUCAAAACAAGUCCAUUAAAUCAAGAGUGCGUUCGACCUUGAUGAUAUGUGAUACUUUUGCUGUUGACGAAGUAAUAGAUGAAUCGACAUAUGUUUUGUUGCGCUUGUCUCCACAUGCUUCCUUGUAUCUUUCUCACUUAGCCUAUCCGUUCCUCAGGCAGAUGUGGUGUCUUUUCUGGAAGCAUAAAAUGUUAAAGAUGAGUACUCGAGAGCAAUAUCAGGUAAGUAAUCAGGCAAUGGGUUCCAGGCAGUCAGUUUCUGACUGGAAGCUUGAUUCCAAGUGCUGACUGAUUGCUCUCUUUCUCCUUGUCUUGUAGGUAAGAACAAGGACAAAGGAAAAGACAGGGAAAAAGCAUGAUAUGGGAUACUCUUACUUUUAACCCUGAUGAUAUGAGAUACUCUUGCUCUUGUGUGGCUGGUUUGCAUAUGUAUUAUUGGGGGAAAGAAAGCUGAGUAUUUCGAGAGGCUUCGUUAGAGUGCCCUCUCAGAUAUGAGGAAGGGUUGAGCAUUUUUGCAGGUCUGUCGGUCCGUGGAGGAUGGAGGUUGACAUAUAUAGGAGUCUCCCUAACAACAAGUAAUAAUGCUAUUCCUUUACCCAUCUUGGUCGUAAUAAUGUAGUGGGAGCUGCAAGCUUCACAUGUUUUAACUUUGUUAGAGCACUUUGAAAAAGUGGUAUGUGGUAUCUGGAAAGCUGAUGUUGUGUGUGAAGAUUGCAGACAAGCUUUAUCCAAGGAAAUCUGGUUCUCGAAGUUCGGAGAGCGAUGCCUCUUCGGUUUUCGAACAAGCAAUCCUGUCGGGGAUCUUGCUCUCGAGAUUCGGAGAGCGGUGCCUCUUCGAUUUUUGAGAAAGCAAUCCUGUUGGGAGUCUGGCUCUUGAGAUUCGGAGAGCGAUGCCUCUUCAAUUUUUGAGAAAGUAAUCCUAUUGGGAGUUUGGCUCUCGAGAUUCGGAGUGCGGUGCCUUUUCGAUUUUUAAGCAAGUAAUAAUGCUAUUCCUUUACCUUUCUUGGUCAUAGCAAUGUAGUGAGAGCUGCAAGCUUCACAUGUUUUAACUUUGUCAGAGCGCUUUGAAAAAGUGGUCUGUGGAAUCAGAAAGCUGAUGUUGCAUGUGAAGAUUGCAGACAAGCUUUAUCCAAGGAAAUCUGGCUCUCGAAGUUCGAAGAGCGGUGCCUCUUCGGUUUUCGAACAAGCAAUCCUGUCGAAGAUCUGGCUCUCGAGAUUCAGAGAACAGUGCCUCUUUGAUUUUUGAGAAAGCAAUCAUGUUGGAAGUCUGACUCUUGAGAUUCAGAGAGCAGUGUCUCUUCGAUUUUUGAGCUAGCAAUCUUGUUGGGAGUGUUUUCUUGAAUGUGAGUAAAGGUUGGGCAUUUUUGCCAGUCUGCCUUGCCACGGAGCACGGAGGUUGACACAUUGGGACUUUCUAGUUAUCAAGCAGUAGUGUUGUUCCUUUACCCUUGUGGGUAAUAAUAAGGUAGUUGGACCUUCAAAAUUUAUGUGUCUAAACUUUGUCAGAGAUAUUUGGCAAAGUUAUUUGUGGUACACGAGGAGCUGAUGUUGUGUGUGGAAAGUGGUGCCUCUUCGAAAUCCGGAGAGUGGUGCCUCUUCGAUUUUUGAACCAACGGCCCUGUUGUCAUUUCUUUUAUAAGGGCACCAAUUGUGUGCAAGGAGUACAUUCAGAGAGUUAUUGCUUGUAGGAAUUUUUCCCUUACUUCAGAGAUUUAUUGCACCUCAUCAUUUAUGAGAAUGUCUGGCCCAUCCGACCGUCGUUUUGACUUGAACUUUGGUGAAGAGGCAGCCAUACCUUCUCAAGACAACAUAUGGCGCCCAUCAUUCUUAUCCCCUACUGGUCCUCUUAUAGUUGGGGACUUUGUGAUAAAGAAUGAUAUGACUGCUGCGGUGAUGGCCACGAACCUUCUUACUCCUAAAGAUAACAGACUACUUUUCAAGCGGUCUGAUGAGUUAGCUGUUAAGGAUUCUCUGGCUCUUAGUGUUUAGUGUGCAGGUUUUGUGUCUAAUAUGGCCCAACGCCUAUUUGCUCGAACCCGCCAAGUUGAAUCAUUGGCGGCUGAAGUGAUAAGUCUCAAACAGGAGAUCAGAGGGCUCAAGCAUGAGAAUAAACAGUUGCACAGGCUCGCACAUGACUAUGCUACAAACAUGAAGAGGAAUCUCGACCAGCUGCAGGAAUCUAAUGUUCAGAUUUUACUUGAUCAUCAGAGGUUUGUGGGUUUGUUCUAAAGACAUUUAUUGCCUUCGUUUUCUGAGGCUGUACCGCGUAAUGAAGCUCUAAAUGAUCAACCUUUGGUGCCUCCUCAUUCUGGGGUUCUGCCUAGUACUGAGGCUCCGAAUAAUCACCCUCUGGUGCCUCCUCUUUCUGAGGCUCUGCCGACUGUUAAGACUUCUCCUGAGCAACCUUUGUGAAGGCUUUCUCUUGUUUAUUUAUUUUGAUUCAUGAAUAUGUACAUAUUUGUAACUUAUCGGAGGUAUCAAUAAACGAUUUGCUUCAUUUCAACGUAUUGUGUUAAAUACACCAAGGGCUUCUUCACUAAGUUCUUUGAAUUUUUCCUUUUGUUGAAGCUUGUAUGUUGAAGUUUUGUGAGUGAAGCAUGUAGGUUGAGGUAGUGCUCCCUUAAUUUCCCGAGUGAGGAAAACUUCUCGUUUGGAGACUUGAAAAAUCCAAGUCACUGAGUGGUCGUGAGACUUCCGAGUAUCACGGUGCAGUAGCAUAUGGUAGGAGUCGCCCAAGUCUCCGAUCGAGGGAGUUAACGAAUGAGGCAUUUCCUUUCUAAGUGGUAGCCCAAAACUCCUUCUUCAUAUAUAUUUGUUAUGAAAGUUAUUAGGACCAAAGAAGAGGAGGCCUAGGCAAUUUUUUUUUCUUCGAAUUUUCGAAUUUUUAAAUUUCCGAAUUUUUGAAUUUUCGAAUUUUUGAAUUUUUGAAUUUUUGAAUUUCCGAAAAUAUAUAUAUAUAUAUAUAUAUAUAUAUAUUUUAAAGCUUUGUAGGUGAAGCUUUGAGGUUGAAGCUUUGUUGGGCACCAUGAAUUGAUUUUGCUUCACACUAUCUUAAUCAAGAUAGUGUGAAGCUUUUGUGUUGAAGCUUUUGUGGGUGAAGCUUUUGUGGGUGAAACUUUUGUAGGUGAAACUUUUGUAGGUGAAGCUUUUGUGGGUGAAGUUUUUGUAGGUCAAGCGUUUGUGGGUCAAGCUUUUAUGGGUGAAGCUUUUGUGGGUCAAGCUUUUGUGGGUCAAGCUUUUGUAGGUGAAGCUUUUGUGUUGAAGCUUUUGUGGGUGAAGUUUUUGUGUUGAAGCUUUUGUAGGUGAAGCUUUGGAGUUGAAGCUUUGUAGGUGAAGCUUUGGAGUUGAAGCUUUUGUUGGGUACCAUGAAUUGAUUUUUCUUCACACUAUCUUGAUCAAGAUAGUAUGAAGCUUUUGAGAAUUUGUAGUUAUCCUCCAUUGAUGAAGCUUUUGUUGGUGAAGCUUUGGAGUUAAAGUUUUGUAGGUGAAGCUUUGGAGUUGAAGCUUUGGAGUUGAAGCUUUGUAGGUGAAGCUUUGGAGUUGAAGCUUUUAUUGGGUACCAUGAAUUGAUUUUGCUUCACACUAUCUUGAUCAAGAUAGUGUGAAGCUUUUGAGAAUUUGUAGUUGUCUUCCAUUGAUAAAGCUUUGUUGAAUUUCCCAUUUUUUUUUUUGGGAAACUAGAAAUUUGAAAAUGUGGGAGAGACAACUUAUACAAAUUUUGCUUCCACACUGUUGAGUAAGAGAUUGUGAUACAAGCCACACCUUGUAGUAGUCGAAGGUUUGGAUGAACCAUAUAAAUUGAAUUUGCUUUGAAGGUCUGAGAAUUGUAGUUGCCCUCCAUUGAUGAAGCUUUUGUUGACACCAUAAAUUGGUUUUGCUUUACACUGUCUUGAUCAAAAGUGUGAAGCUUUUGAGAAUUGUGGUUGAACUCCUUUGAUGAAGCUUUUGUUGGCACCAUAAAUUGGUUUUGCUUCACACUGUCUUGAUUAAAAGUGUCUUAAGCUUUUGAGAAUUGUGGUUGCCCUCCAUUGAUGAAGCUCUUGUUGACACUAUAAAUUGGUUUUGUUUCACACUGUCUUGAUCAAGAAUGUGUGAAGCUUUUGAGAAUUGUGGUUGAACUCUUUUGAUGAAACUCUUGUUGGCACCAUAAAUUCGUUUUGCUUCACACUGUCUUGAUCAAGAGUGUGUGAAGCUUUUGAGAAUUAUGGUUGCCCUUUAUUGAUGAAGCUCUUGUUGGCACCAUAAAUUGGUUUUGCUUCACACUGUCUUGAUCAAGAGUGUGUGAAGCUUUUGAGAAUUGUGGUUGAACUCCUUUGAUGAAGCUCUUGUUGGCACCAUAAAUUUGUUUUGCUUCACACUAUCUUGAUCAAGAGAGUAUGAAUCUUUUGAGAAUUGUGGUUGCCUUCCAUUGAUGAAGCUCUUGUUGGCACCAUAAAUUGGUUUUGCUUCACACUGUCUUGAUCAAGAGUGUGUGAAGCUUUUGAGAAUUGUGGUCGCCCUUUAUUGAUGAAGCUCUUGUUGGCACCAUAAAUUGGUUUUGCUUCACACUGUCUUGAUUAAGAGUGUGUGAAGCUUUUGAGAAUUGUGGUUGCCAUCCAUUGAUAAAGCUCUUGUUGGCACCAUAAAUUGGUUUUGCUUCACACUGUCUUGAUCAAGAGUGUGUGAAGCUUUUGAGAAUUGUGGUUGCCUUCUAUUGAUGAAGCUCUUGUUGGCACCAUAAAUUGGUUUUGCUUCACACUGUCUUGAUCAAGAGUGUGUGAAGCUUUAUACGAGUUGUAGUGUUUGCAUUGUUACAGAGGGGAAAUGUCUGAAACAUAUGCAAGAGGGCUGAAUAGCUUGAUCUUCGUAUGCCAUGCAUUGAAGUUGUUGUUGGCUUGCAAUAAGACUUUAUUGGUGACUAUAACUCUUGUUGGGCAUAAGUGUUCCCCUAGUUGAGUCGUCAAGCUUGAGGGUGUUUUGAUUAUUUGUGAAUGCUAGGAGUUCAUAUGUACAAGUUGUACCACUCGUCUUCUGGUAGGUGGAAUGAAUGGUGAGUUGCUUUCAUCACUUGGUUGAUGGUACGAAGGUGAGUUCCUUCUUCCCUUGGUUGGUGGCAUGAAUGGCAAGUUGUCAAAUGAUAUUAGAGUACGGAUUGUGCAUUUCAUCACCUGGUUUGUGGCAUGAAGAAGAGUACAGAUUGUACAUUUCAUCACCUGGUUGGUGGCACGAAGAUGAGUUCUUUCUUUACUUGGUUGGUGGUAUGAGUGGCAAGUUGCCAAAUGAUAUUAGAGUAUGGGUUGUACAUUUCAUCACCUGGUUGAUGGCAUGAAGGAGAGUACGGGUUGUACAUUUUAUCACCUGAUUGGUGGCAUGAAUGGCAAGUUGCCAAAUGAUAUUAGAGUACGGGUUGUACAUUUCAUCAUCGGGUUGGUGGCAUGAAGAUGAGUUCCUUCUUCACCUGGUUGGUGGCAUGAGUGGCAAGUUGCCAAAUGAUAUUAGAGUACGGGUUGUACAUUUCAUCAUUUGGUUGGUGGUAUGAAGAUGAGUUUCUUCUUCACCUGGUUGGUGGCAUGAGUGGCAAGUUGCCAAAUGAUAUUAGAGUAUGGGUUAUACAUUUUAUCACCUGGUUGGUGGCAUGAAGGAGAGUACAAGUUGUACAUUUCAUCACCUGGUUGGUGGCAUGAAGAUGAGUUCUUUCUUCACAUUUCAUCACCUGGUUGGUGAGAAUAAGGGCAAAGUGUCUAGGCACACUGUAGCAAGUGUCGAAUGACACAAAAUAUGUUGAACCAUUUCAAAGCACAAUUGGCUUAUGUAUGAAUGUGUUGAAAUGUAUGAUUGAACGAAUAUACUGUGAAGCUGUUCGUUUAUUUAUAUAGUCUUGUUGACAUAUACUUAGACUUUGUUUCAUGUUAGAAGCAUUCAUGUUGAAGCUUUGAACCCGAGUGUUUCAUUGCUAAGAAUGUAAGAGGAUUAGGAUCGAGUUGUCUAAAUCACCUCUUUAUUGAAUUCAUGCCAAAUAGUCUUCGUUACAUAGGAUGCCGAACGACUGAAGCUUAACACUUGUACAAUGUGAGUUUACUUGUAAUAGUACUUCAAGUGAUCAACGUUCCAUGGAUAGCCAAGGGUCUUGCCAUCAGAGCUUUUAAGCUUGUAGGAGCCAGGGCGACUGAUGCCAACAACUUCAAACGGUCCAUCCCAGUUUGGACUAAGUGUUCCUUCACUCGGGACUUUGUCGCAGAGUAAUCUUUUCUUCAAUACUCAGUCCCCCACUUUGAAAAAACAAGGUUUGACCCUUGAGUCAUAGUAGUUGGAGAUGCGCUGCUUGUAGGUGACAUUCCUUAAGUGAACCUGGUUUCUGUGUUCCUCGACUAGAUCUAAGUUGAGGGUAAGUUGUUUUUCAUUUUCGCUUUGCACGUAGUUCUAGACUCAGAACGUUGCUUGCUCAAGCUCAACUGGGACAACUGCCUCUGUACCAAAAACAAGUGAGAAUGAGGUUUCUCCUGUUGAUGUCCGAUACGAAGUGCGGUAUGACCAAAGAACUUGGGAUACAAAUGCUGGCCAACAACCUUUAGCCUUGUCCAAGCUGGUUUUCAAAGUUCACAUGAUAUUGAUCGAAGCCCCCGUGUUUACCAGGAUUCGUCGUACUUCAAAGUUGGCUAUAUGAGCUUCCACGAUCAGUAGGUCGUUGUGAGGGUAAAUAAUACCUCUUUCUUCCUCAGGGUAGAAACAUAUUGGAUCCCAGUUAGGCUUUUGAUACUUACCUCCCCUGAUGUCUUCCACGUGAAACACUUGGUGGCCAGACCUUAAAGCUCAUUCACUAUUUUUCGUGGCCCUGUUGGAAGAUUUAGAUAUGGGUGUGCCACCACUUAUGGAAUAUAUCACAUUUACCUGGCGUUGGUUACGGUUACCCCUUGAAGGGUGAAGAAGGAAUUAAUCAAUUUUUUCUUCACGUGCCAAAGCUUCAAUAUGAUCACGAAGGGUGAUACACUUCUCACCAUUAUGGCCGUUAUGCUCGUGGUAGCAGCAAAACGUGCCCGUGUUCUUCAUGGGCUUGUAAUCCAGGUGCCUCGGCUUUAGCUUCGGUAUCAAGUGUGCUAUGCUGGGGUAAAUGGCCAUGCAUGUGGCGUUCAAAGGUGUGUAUGCCUUAUACCUUGGGGUAGGGGCUGUCCUGACACAUGCUUGACCCACUGUGUUGACUGCUUGGGGUCGGGGAUUAUCAUGGCGAUACCCUUGGUUAUCACGGUAGUGUCCCUUACUCCUUUUACUAAAAUGAGACUGGUGAGGAUGGAAAUCUUUCCUUUUACCCUGAGAUUGAUAUGUCUGUUAACUUGGCAAAAUAUUAAGUAAGGCAGGGGGAGGCACCGCUACCGUUUGGAAGGUCGAGGUUUUCUCAUUUGGUUGGAUUUGGCUUCCACUUCCUACUUGCUGAUAAGGGGUGGUUGUGGGGGGUUUCCCUUGAUAUGUCCUUACCUCGGCAGAGGCAUGGUUGUAAGCAUGUGCCAUCACCUCAGAGUAAGUCUUCCAAGUGUUGGCAUUGAUCAUGUACUUGAAGAAACAAUCACGUAGGUCUGCCGUGAAGGCCUUGAGAGCAGUCUUGUCAUCUGCCUCAGCGCAGCGAGAAUACUUAUGGCUAAAACGACCAACAUACUCUUAUAGUGACUCGUCCAGUUUCUGGCGAAUAGUGUACAAGUCAUCCGCAGAAUGCAAGCGAUCGGUUUGGAAGAUGUGUUGAGAGAAAAACAGUUUCCUCAGUUCUUCAAAUGAGUCUACUGUCUCAGGUGGAAGACGACAAUACCAGUUUAGAGCUCCGUCAGAGAGGGUGGAGGGGAAGAGAAGACAUCGUUCUUCGUCGGUGUGCAUCCGAUAUGCCAUGGUGGACUCAAAGAGGUUAAUGUGUUUAAUUGGGUCCUCCCUUCCAGUAUAGAGUUGUAAACCAAGCUUUUGUUUUGUCUUCGCUUGAAUGGGGUGUCAAGGAUCCUCCUUGUAAGAGGGCCAGGCCUGGGUUGGUUCUAGUCAGGUAUCUCGGCCUGACGUUCGGCCUUCAACUUGUUUACUUCCUUAAGGUGCUGUAGGACAAAGGGGGUCUUGAGUGGAGUCAUGUACCACUAGGAUUUUCUUUCGUAAAUCUCCAUUGCCUCUUGGAAGUAAGAAAGUUUGAGUAAGGGCGUGUGAUUUUUCCUUGGACUAGUCAUACUGACUUCUAGGGCGAGUCUGUCGGAAUACCUCAGAGUCCCCUGUACCUUCAUGUUCCUCUAGGACAUGUCGUUCCUUCCCUAGAUUGGCAGUUAGUCUGGGUCGUGGAAGGGGACCGAGUCUUUUAGAAACCCUUGGGUCAUUGAUCUUCGAGCAUAUAUGGAGGGGAUUCUCUUGACGUUGCUUUAGGAAGUCUCGGCAAUCACGAUAAACGACUUUCGAUCCUUCCAACCUUUCUGCAAGGAGGUGUCUUCCUCCACUUCUCCUGCUUCGGGUCGAAGCAGCUGGGUUGAGAGAAGUCUCAUGUUGAUCAAUGUUUUGAUGAUUAGCUUGCUCCUCAUCAGGGAUUCCCAUGUCGAAGGAAGGUGACCCUCCGUGUUGGGGGGCACCUAGAUGAUGAUUGAUGUCUACAGGGGCAACAAGCUUGCGUGUUUGAGUACGCAUAGUUUCGUAGAGCGUCUCAAAGAGCUUUUCAUACUGCUCCUAGAGGACCUCAUUCUUCAUUGCUAUCUUGUUAUUUUGAGCUUUUAACUCAUUGACUUUAGCUUGAAGAACAACCCUCUUUCCUUCCUUCUUUCGUUGCUUCGCACUAGGUGCAAAAUGGUGUCAUUCUGUGUGUUAUGGCUUCCUUCGCUCCUCAUGUUGGAGAGGGAUACCUGGUCAAAAGAGAGUGUACUAAUGGUGGAAACCAGCUUGACAAAGCUGAAGAGAGUGAGAAUAAGUGUCAUUCCCACAGACGGUGCCAAAUGUUGAUGCACAAAAUCAGUGAGGACUUUGGUACAAUAGAAAAUGUUAAGUUUGUGACCUUCGCUAGAUUGCUCUGGUCACUAGUGUGGAUAAGUAUGUAAAUGGAUAGAGACAGGGAAGCAAACACAAGAUGUACGUGGUUCACCUAGAUUGGCUACGUCCAUGGAGUAGAGGAGUUCUCAUUAAUUGUGAAGGGUUUACACAAGUACAUAGGUUCAAGCUUUCCUUUAGUGAGUACUAGUAAAUGAUUUAGUACAAAUGACAUUAGGAAAUAUUGUGAGAGAAUAAUCUCUAUUUAUAGAAGAGAGUUUCUAGUUUCAUUCUGACAUUGACACAUGUCGUGUUGUGAUUGGCUUCUGAUGUUGACACGUGUCGCGCUAUGAUUGGCUUCUGAUGUCGACACGUGUCGCGCUGUGAUUGGCCUCCUGGUUGGAGGGAAACUCUUCUGGGUCCUUGACGGUAUAACGUUGACCGGUGCUCAGUAAUUUCGGGAUUGUUCAAGUAUGGUACAAACAUCACCCGUUAACGAUGAACUUUGAGAAAAAAAAACCAAAUUAGAAAUCAUUUAAUUUGUUGAUUAACAUUGUCAAAAUUUAUGUGAGAGAUUAAUUUCAUAAGCACUACUCGCACCUUAUAGAUUUUUAAUCACAAGCACUAGGCGCGACUUACAAAUUUAUAUUGAUAUUUUUAUUUGCCAAUGUACUUUCACUAUGCACAAAGUUGAAAUAACAAUCAAAUAAAAAGUCUAAAAUUAUAGAAAUUCGCAAGUAAUGCUUAUCAAGCGUGAUUAAGGUCAAAUCAAACUUUAAAGAGUCAAAUUGAGUUUCAAAUUCAACGAAAAUAAAAUAAAAUCGCAAAAUAGAAAAUACGUCAAUAAAUAGUGAAAUUCAGAA
rnacentral:lncRNA from 1 species